rnacentral:rRNA from 1 species
UACAGAGGUCUCAAGCGUUGUUCGGAUUCAUUGGGCGUAAAGGGUGCGUAGGUGGCGCUGUAAGUCAGGUGUGAAAUUUCGGAGCUUAACUCCGAAACUGCAUUUGAUACUACGGUGCUUGAGGACUGGAGAGGAGACUGGAAUUCACGGUGUAGCAGUGAAAUGCGUAGAGAUCGUGAGGAAGACCAGUGGCGAAGGCGGGUCUCUGGACAGUUCCUGACACUGAGGCACGAAGGCCAGGGGAGCAAACGGG